GAAGGUCCAUGGCUCAGUGAUAGAGCAUACGCUUUUCAUGUCAAAGGUUCCGGGUUCCAUCCCUGGUGUUUUUA